GUCCCUGUAAAGUAAUGGUUAGUGUGUUGGACUUGUAAUCCAAAGAUCGUGAGUUCGAAUCCCGCCUGGGAUU